GGGGUUAUAGCUCAGUGGUAGAGCACUUGCCUUAUACGUAUGAGGCAUUGGGUUUGAUCCUUAGCACUA
rnacentral:tRNA from 1 species